GGUGUCUGAGCCCCUGCUGCUAAGUGAGACCAUACCAUUUAUUCUCCAUUCCAUUACUUCUUGCGAGGGGGAUCAUAUCACCCCUCCUGAUAGGAAAACUUCUCACUAUCAGAUGUUUGUGCUUCUUUUCAGAAAGGUUCUUACUUUUUAAAUAGGGUGCUUUCAUUGUGUUCUAGAGGGCCUCACUUCCUCUGUUACUGCAUUCCUAUUUGAUGCCAGUACUCCUACAUCUGUGAUUUUAGGGAGGGAAAUGCAGGAGCCUCUCCCCACAGCUCUCAAAGGUUUGUUUGGCCUGCCCUGCCACAGUCCCCUGUCUUACCUCUUCCCUGGGUUGCCCCCAUUCUUGUAUUCUGGCUCCAAAUCAGUCUGCCAGGAGGUUCAGCCUUUGUGUCUCCACACCUUCUCAGUUUACACUUCUACUUCUUUGGGGCCUCUGGCCUUUUAUAUGCAGAUGAGCCCCCCAUCCACCCCCUUCUCUACCCAUUGCUGAUGGGAAUCAGAGGGAGAAGCUUGAAGAGCUCUGGGGGUGUAUCAUAAUUUCCAAAGAGGGGAGGUGUCUUCUGUGAUCCUAUGAUUUCCCUUCCCCCACCCUGCCCCAGACCUUCCACCAUUUGGUCACAAGGAUGCCUGCCAAAGGCUGAGACACAAGAAAUCCCCUUGUCUGGGCUACAAUGGGACUGUGGGGGUGUGGCAGGGAAAGACAGAGGCUCUUUGGUCCUAAGACCCACAUCCUAGGAGGGGGAGAGAUUGAGAGGAAGGCUGUUUUCCUUCCUCCCUUAGCGCAAGCGCUAGACUCCUGGGACCUGAAGAGGGAGCAGGGGACUGGCUCUGGGCCUGGGUCCUAGGGCCCUAGUGAAUUACAGCAAAGAAGGAAUUCAGGGAAGUUGCCAACCUUGGGGCCCUACGAGGGAACAAGUGUGUGUGGGGGGGGUUGUGAAAAGAGGGCUGUGGCUGAUGUCAGAGAAUGACUUCUUGGAGAUUAACCCUAUGAGCCCUAGCUAACUGCCUAUAUGUUGGUCCUUGUCUUUCCUGGGGUCUGAAACUAAUCAUUGGAAAGCAAAAAAGAAAGAACAGGGUGUCAGGUGAUCCUUACCUAUUUGCUGUGCCUUCCCUCAGGAGAAGGAGUUUCCUCAAGUGCUAGAAUAACUCCUGCAAUUUCUCUACUUUUCAUUCUAUACUGGAGAAGGGAAGGAAGACAAGUUCAUCUCCACUUCCCCUAAGUUCCUCAAGUUUUGUUCUGCAACUUCCGCCCCAAUCCUUUUGGGGCAACAUUCAUUCCAUAGCUCUCCCCUAAAGACCCGCUCUUCUCCCAUCCCCUCAAAGUGAUCAAGGUCUCCAAGCAUAUUCUCAGCCUUUUCCUCCUUUGCUACUUUCCAGUAGCACCUCUCCGGAACACCUCUUCUGGCCUUGGGCUCCUGACUUCUCCUUAAGCUAGCAAUUCAAAUGCUCUUCUCCAGUCCCUGCUCUGUUGCCAUUUUGUAGUGUGCCUUGGGUAAACUACAUUUUCACUUGGAAGUUUGUAUUCCUUUUUGAAGCUUGUUUGGUUAGGCUACAAACUUCUGAGCGGAAGAGGUUGUGCGCCCUCUUGUGGCCAUAAUGUACCAUAGCCAGGGGUAGCUGCCUAGAAUCUCCAAGCUCAAGUACAGCCUUACAGAAGACUUGCCCCUUCAGUACACAGACAGGCUAGAGAGGCAGGCCUAGAGAGGGCAGAGAUUUGCCCAGUGUCACCCAUUGUAGAUCCAUGGCAAGACCCAGGUUAGAGAACCCAGAUUCCUUGCUUGUCUGUCCACAGUGCCAUCUUUUGGCCAGACUAUUUCCCCACCCCACCCACUCAAUACCACCCAAAGGUGAGAAAGCAAUUUUUCCAUGUUUUAAUAUGUGGGUUCUUAAUCCCACCUUAGAGAGGCAGCUCAGUGUGUGGAGAAAGCACUACAGGCUCUGAGGAAAGAGAACCUGGGACCUCGACUGGGUAAAAGCUGCAUGAGUCUGGACUGCAGAUAUAAGAAAAAUCAUCCUGGACAAACCGUUUUCUUGGGGAGGGCCAGUAGGCCCAGACAUUAUGGAGGGAGAGCUGAGCAUUUCAGACUUGGAGGAGUGGACAAAAGCUGAAAUCCUCAUCUAGUCUGAAAUGUUGAGAGAAUUAAAAAAUGUGACAGACACAAAAGUGAGCAAAUGCUGUUGGAAAGUGGCACUGAUUGCUUGACACAGGAUUGCAAGAAGCCUUCAAUUUGUAAAAACUUCAAUAUCUACCAAGUGUAAUAACGUGAAGCUCAAUAAAAUGAGGUAUGUCUAUGGA